rnacentral:rRNA from 1 species
AAAGUGCCUUAAAACUAC